UGGCGAACCUGAAUGAGUUGAGGUCACUGUAUCCUGUUUCGCCGCUACGAUCAUUAUUCGCAUGCAAUAGGACCUCUCCAAACAUUGUCAGGCCUGGCAGGACUGACUGUGGACACAAAACCAAAACACAGUAAUAAGUCACUAGAACCUUCUACAGCAUUGGUGAUAGAUAUUUUAAAACAGCUCUGAUCUAGGGAGCGGGAUUGCUCGUGCCACCUUACCAUGACUCUGUGGACUCUGCUCUGCACAAAGUCCACAUUCAUCUCCCACUGGAGAGGCAGCAGAAGCCACACACCCGAAUGAGGAUCCCAGAACCGGCACACGUUCACUCUCUCCUGGAAAAAGCACAAACAACACAAGUUAGAUCAUGGAAUACAAACAUGGGCCUCUUCUACAGUUGUCACCUUAGGGAGGUAAGGGGGGGGGGGGGGGGGGGGGGGGUCCCAGUAAUCGUUGGUGCUAAGUUUUCAGGGGAUCUAGGUCCAAGGUGAGGAAUCAGACAAAGAAGAGAUUCUCCGGACGAGGAAAAAAAAGAUGGAAAAUGGAUGGAGAGAAACAUGAAACUUCUGAGAAGCCAACAGGAGUUUCUGAUUUCAAACAUGGGACCUUGGUGUGCCCCGACGGAGGCCUUCACCUCGAACAUGACUGCAGGUGUGGGUGUCCUUACUACCACAGGGGUUGGGGUCCGGACCACAGGAGUAGGGGUCCGGGCCACAGGAGUGGGAGUCUGGACCAGGUCGGGCUGUUCAUCCUCCACCAGGCCCAGACGGGAUCCCUCGGUGGUGGUGGACGCUCCACUUCCCAUCUCGACGCU